UAUGUAAUGCUCCGGCCAAGUCGCGAGCUUCCUUGCUAGGGACUGCAGGGCUCUCCCUGGAGCAGCCUGGGAUCUACACUGAAGGAGGAAGCUGGAUGUCCUCAAAAGCAAUAUUUCCCUGAGCGAUCAAAGAACAGAAGACAGGUGCGGGCCACAUGGAAGGAAGGUGGACAGAGGAAAGAAACCUCCUUUCUCCUAAGCUGAAAAGUCAGAGCUGCUGGAGGUGGGGAGAAAAGCCCACUGGCUCAUACUCCUUGGAAGAAAAGCAAAGGUGAGAGCCUGGAAUCCAAGCAGGGAAGGAAGCAAAGAAGGGAGAGAAAUGACCGUGGGGCCGGCCUAUUGGACUAUUGGAGUUCACGUGGGGACAGCUUGAGUCAGCCAGGCUCAGACACUGAGUGAGUUCAGCCAGCAGGUGCAUGGAUGAGCCCACCAAGACCAAAUCAGAUCCAUAGAAUUGCCCAGCCAACUACCUAUUUGUG